AUAUAUAUGUAUACAUGAGGAAAUUUAAAACAAUGAAAAUCCAUUUAAACUCCUCCAUUCUUAUUCUUUCCUUAUGUACAUCUGGAAUCUACAACAACCCAAACCCAAUUUUUUCCAUUCCUAAAUUGAUCCAAUGUAUAUAAUAAGUUGAGGAAAUUUGUUGUGAUUAAAUACAAAUUAGUAUCAAUGGUUUUAUUGGCUUGUGAGACUUGUGGGGCAUAGGCAAGGCAAUGCAGGCAUCGUUUUGUCCAGGAAUUUGGUUGAUGCAAAUGUAGAGACUGUAGAUUGAGCGGGCUAUGUGUGAACAUAGCAACUGCACGCCUACACCCUUCUGUAGUCAACUUCUUUUCUUCUUUUUAUUUUUCCUUUUCCUUUUAUUGUUAUAUACUAGUCUUGAUUAUCCACACGGGCAAAUGCACUAUAAGGCCAGUAUAGGUCAAGGCUCAUCCUCACUCUUUUAGCCUUUCUAAAUAUUUAUAUUUUUAUUGUUAUAUAUUAGUCUUGAUUAUCCACAGGGACGGAGGCACUAUAAGGCCAAUAUAUGGAUGACAAUUCAAACCAUUAAACCUGAUAACCGUGGAUAACUGCCCGAAUGGAACGGAUUUGGGAAUAAAAAUUCGAUUAUAUUUUGGAAAUGGGGAAAAACUAGAUAAAUUAUUCGGUUAUGAUUUCAGAUAUGGUUAUAGGGGUCUCCAAUCCGUAUCUUUCCCCGAGACCAACUGGAAUAAUACAUAUUAUAUACAUAGUAUAUAAAUUAUAUAUAAUAAAUAUAG
rnacentral:lncRNA from 1 species